UGGGGAAUAUUGGACACUGGGCGAAAGCCUGAUCCAGCCAUGCCGCGUGUGUGAAGAAGGUCUUCGGAUUGUAAAGCACUUUAAGUUGGGAGGAAGGGCAUUAACCUAAUACGUUAGUGUUUUGACGUUACCGACAGAAUAAGCACCGGCUAACUCUGUGCCAGCAGCCGCGGUAAUACAGAGGGUGCAAGCGUUAAUCGGAAUUACUGGGCGUAAAGCGCGCGUAGGUGGUUUGUUAAGUUGGAUGUGAAAUCCCCGGGCUCAACCUGGGAACUGCAUUCAAAACUGACUGACUAGAGUAUGGUAGAGGGUGGUGGAAUUUCCUGUGUAGCGGUGAAAUGCGUAGAUAUAGGAAGGAACACCAGUGGCGAAGGCGACCACCUGGACUAAUACUGACACUGAGGUGCGAAAGCGUGGGGAGCAAACA
rnacentral:rRNA from 1 species